UACCCGCUGAACUUAAGCAUAUCAAUAAGCGGAGGAAAAGAAACCAACAGGGAUUGCCUCAGUAACGGCGAGUGAAGCGGCAACAGCUCAAAUUUGAAAUCUGGCCCUUCCAGGGUCCGAGUUGUACUUUGUAGAGGAUGCUUCGGGUACGGCUCCGGUCUAAGUUCCUUGGAACAGGACGUCAUAGAGGGUGAGAGUCCCGUAUGUGACUGGCCGCCAGGCCCGUGUGAAGCUCCUUCGACGAGUCGAGUUGUUUGGGAAUGCAGCUCUAAACGGGUGGUAAAUUUCAUCUAAAGCUAAAUACCGGCCAGAGACCGAUAGCGCACAAGUAGAGUGAUCGAAAGAUGAAAAGCACUUUGGAAAGAGAGUUAAAAAGUACGUGAAAUUGUUGAAAGGGAAGCGCUUGCAACCAGACUUGCCCGCGGGUGAUCAGCCGGUAUUCUUACCGGUGCACUCGCCCGUGGUCAGGCCAGCAUCGGUUUGGGCGGUUGGACAAACGCCCCUGGAACGUAGCUCCUCCCGGGGAGUGUUAUAGCCUGGGGUGCAAUGCGGCCUGCCCAGACCGAGGACCGCGCUUCGGCUAGGGUGCUGGCGUAAUGGUUGUAAGCGACCCGUCUUGAA
rnacentral:rRNA from 1 species